UAAGCUCUUCCGCUUUUCUGGGUCUCCCUUCAUAUCCAGAUGCAGAGGAAGUGUUGCAGUUACCAGGAAGGAAGUUUUAACCAAGUUGAUUAUACGUGUGAUUGCUCAUUUUAAAAGUGUCAGAAAUGCAUUUCCUGUUAUAGCACAGAGGGAAGCACGAGAGUGAACGAUGUUUACCGGUUUCCUAUACUAGAGUUCAUCCCCAAUCUGGGUUCUCCUGGACUCUAGCUAAGCCCCAGGAACAUCAGGGAGGAUGGUGCUGGCCUCAUAGCUUUCUUGGAGGACCAUGUUUUUCUUAUCAGUAGACCUACAUGACC